GUCCUCUUCAGAAGUCGACUCAGAUGCAGUGGAAACCAGCACAGAGCAAAGAUCAGCACCAGGCAGAACACGGCUUUGGCUACUUCUCUACGCUGCAGAGAGAAAUUACUCUCAGAAGUCGAGCAUCAGGAAUGCAGGUGACCAUCUUGAAGCCGAUGGCCUCCGGCACGGCCAGCGUGAUAGACAGCAUCCAGAUCACCACAAUCUCCAUCGCCGUUACCGUGGGAACGCCUGUGCCCUGCACCCGGGACCAGGACGCCACCGCACGGGGGGCGGGGGCUUGUUCACGGUCUCUUGCACCAGGUGUGGCUCUCCGUCCGAGGUCUGGAUGAGAUAGUUCAGCCCUGGUCCCAGAGGCGCAUCAGUGCUGUGGAAGUCAGGUGGCUCCAACAUCACCAGAUCUGAGAAGUUACUGUGGCAACUGGCGGGCUUGACAAACCCCAAACACCAGACAACCAGCAGUGAGUGGAUUUUGAUUAAGUUAAAUCCCUCCAAGGACGAGAGGAUAAGAAGAAGAAGAGUAGCUCCACUUGGCGAAGGAGACAGAACUGAUGAAGUCAAACUGAUGUCACUCAGCAUAUUGACGUGGUUCACACUGAGACUUUGGAAAGCUACCACCGAGCAGACACAUAAAAAGCAGAAUUCUUCUCAGAAGAUGUUUUAUUUUAUUUUGUAUUGUGAGAUGAUCCUGGAGCUUUCUCACUGCUGUUCAUGAUCUGCCGUGAAGUCGGAGAAGUUUAAACAUCUCAUACAGCCUGUACAUUCACUCAAAUUUGAAGUAUUUGUUCUUUACUUGAGUAUUUCCAUUUCUACUCCACUACAUCUCAGAGGUAAAUAUUUUACUUUUUACUGCGCUAAAUUUGUCUGAUGGCUUUAAUUAAUUUCCAGGUU